rnacentral:tRNA from 1 species
GCUCAGUUGGUUAAAUGUCUGACUCCUGAUUUCAGCUCAGGCCUUGAUCUCAGCUCUUGAUCUCAGGGUUGUGAGUUCAAGCCCCACAUUGGGCU